CACGUAGGGUCCGAGCGUUGUCCGGAAUUACUGGGCGUAAAGCGUGCGCAGGCGGUUGGGUCAGUCGGUGGUGAAAGCCCCACGCUCAACGUGGGAAUGGCCAACGAGACUGCCCGACUGGAGGCAGGGAGAGGCCGGUGGAAUUCCGGGUGUAGUGGUGAAAUGCGUAGAGAUCCGGAGGAACACCAGAGGCGAAGGCGGCCGGCUGGACCGGACCUGACGCUGAGGCACGAAGGCGUGGGGAGCGAACGGG
rnacentral:rRNA from 1 species